UUUUAAUAAGCUAUUAAGGGCUAAUGGUGGAUGCCUUGACUGUAAGAGGCGAAGAAGGACGUAUUAGGCUGCGAUAAGCCACGGGGAGCUGCCAAAGAGCUUUGAUCCGUGGGUUUCCGAAUGGGGCAACCCAAUAUAUAGAGAUAUAUAUUACUCUACGGAGAGCGAACUUGGGGAAGUGAAACAUCUCAGUACCCAAAGGAAGAGAAAUCAAAUGAGAUUCCCAUAGUAGCGGCGAGCGAACUGGGAUUAGGACAAACCCUAUACUUGUAUAGGGGGUUGUAGGACCAUAAUAUAAGAUUAAAGAGGAUAGAUGAACUAGUUGGAAAGCUAGAGCGUAGAAGGUGAAACUCCUGUAAUUAAAAUUCUCAAUAACUUUAAUGGUAUCCUGAGUAGGUCGGAACACGUGAUAUUUUGACUGAAGCUGGGGGGACCACCCUCCAAUCCUAAAUACUACUUACAGAUCGAUAGUGAACAAGUACCGUGAGGGAAAGGUGAAAAGUACUGCAGCGAGCAGAGUGAAAUAGAACCUGAAACCAUUAGCUUACAAUCAUUCAGAGCCCUAUGAUUUAUCAGGGUGAUGGACUGCCUUUUGCAUAAUGAGCCUGCGAGUUGUGGUGUCUGGCAAGGUUAAGCCAAGUGCGAAGCCGUAGCGAAAGCGAGUCUUAAUAGGGCGACAUAGUCAGAUGCUGCAGACCCGAAACGAAGUGAUCUAUCCAUGAGCAGGUUGAAGCUGGUGUAAGAGCCAGUGGAGGACCGAACCCAUUGACGUUGAAAAGUCUCGGGAUGACUUGUGGAUAGGGGUGAAAGGCCAAUCAAACUUCGUGAUAGCUGGUUCUCUCCGAAAUAUAUUUAGGUAUAGCCUUGUGUUGUAGCAUAUAGGGGUAGAGCACUGAAUGGGCUAGGGCUGCUUACCGCGGUACCAAACCCUAUCAAACUAUGAAUACUAUAUGUGGAAUCACAGGAGUCAGGCGGUGGGUGAUAAAAUCCGUCGUCGAGAGGGGAACAACCCAGACUAACAGCUAAGGUCCCUAAGUUACAUCUAAGUGGAAAACGAUGUGGAGUUACUGUGACAACCAGGAGGUUGGCUUAGAAGCAGCCAUCCUUUAAAGAAAGCGUAACAGCUCACUGGUCUAGUGAUUCUGCGCGGAAAAUAUAACGGGGCUAAGAUGUACACCGAAGCUUUAGAUUCAAUUUUUAAUUGAGUGGUAGGAGAGCGUUCUAUUCAGCGUUGAAGGUAUACCGGUAAGGAGUGCUGGAGCGGAUAGAAGUGAGCAUGCAGGCAUGAGUAGCGAUAAUUAAGGUGAGAAUCCUUAACGCCGAAAACCCAAGGUUUCCUACGCGAUGCUCGUCAUCGUAGGGUUAGUCGGGUCCUAAGUCGAGACUGAAAAGUGUAGACGAUGGCAAAUUGGUUAAUAUUCCAAUACCAACAUAUAAGCGCGAUGUGGGGACGCAUAGAGUUAAUCGAGCUCACUGAUGGAAUAGUGGGUCGAAGGAUGUAGGUUGUUAAGUAGGCAAAUCCGCUUAACAAUAGACCGAGAUCUUACAGGCUCUUGACACUCUUCGGAGGAGAUGGAGAAUCGAUGAUACUGUCGUGCCAAGAAAAGCCACUAAGUAUAUUAUAUGUUGCCCGUACCGUAAACCGACACAGGUGGGUGGGAUGAGUAUUCUAAGGCGCGUGGAAGAACCCUCUUUAAGGAACUCUGCAAAAUAGCACCGUAUCUUCGGUAUAAGGUGUGCCUACCAUGGUAUAGAAACUUGCUUUCAAAAGCCAAGGAGGUUGCAACAAAGAGUCCCUCCCGACUGUUUACCAAAAACACAGCACUUUGCUAACACGUAAGUGGAUGUAUAAGGUGUGACGCCUGCCCGGUGCUCGAAGGUUAACUGAUGAUGUCAGCGCAAGCGAAGCAUUUGAUUGAAGCCCGAGUAAACGGCGGCCGUAACUAUAACGGUCCUAAGGUAGCGAAAUUCCUUGUCAGUUAAAUACUGACCUGCAUGAAUGGCGUAACGAGAUGGGAGCUGUCUCAAAGAGGGAUCCAGUGAAAUUGUAGUGGAGGUGAAAAUUCCUCCUACCCGCGGAAAGACGGAAAGACCCCGUGCACCUUUACUACAGCUUGACACUGUAGCUUGGAUAUUCAUGUGCAGGAUAGGUGGGAGGCUAUGAUGACUAGACGCAAGUAGAGUCGGAGCCAUCCUUGAGAUACCACCCUUGAAUAUUUGAGUUACUAACUGCGAUGAGUUAUCCUCAUUCAGGACAAUGUCUGGUGGGUAGUUUGACUGGGGCGGUCGCCUCCUAAAUAGUAACGGAGGCUUACAAAGGUUAGUUCAAAGCGGUUGGAAAUCGCUUGUUGAGUAUAAUGGCAUAAACUAGCUUGACUGUGAGACCAACAAGUCGAACAGAGACGAAAGUCGGUCAUAGUGAUCCGGUGGUUCUGCGUGGAAGGGCCAUCGCUCAAAGGAUAAAAGGUACGCCGGGGAUAACAGGCUGAUCUCCCCCAAGAGCUCACAUCGACGGGGAGGUUUGGCACCUCGAUGUCGGCUCAUCGCAUCCUGGGGCUGUAGUCGGUCCCAAGGGUAUGGCUGUUCGCCAUUUAAAGCGGUACGCGAGCUGGGUUCAGAACGUCGUGAGACAGUUCGGUCCCUAUCUUCCGUGGGCGUAGGAAAGUUGAAGAGAUUUGUCCCUAGUACGAGAGGACCGGGAUGAACCAACCACUGGUGUACCAAUUGUUCUGCCAAGAGCAUCGUUGGGUAGCCACGUUGGGAUGUGAUAAGAGCUGAAAGCAUCUAAGCUCGAAGCCAACUCUAAGAUGAACUUUCCCUGAAGUUCCCAGCAAGACUAGCUGGUUGAUAGGCUGGAUGUGUAAUGGGUGUAAGCCCUUUAGCUGACCAGUACUAAUAGAACGUUUGGCUUAUUUUUAACAAUUUUUCUUUGGUUUACU
rnacentral:rRNA from 1 species